rnacentral:rRNA from 1 species
GACGAACGCUGGCGGCGUGCUUAACACAUGCAAGUCGAGCGGUAAGGCCCUCGGGUACGACGAGCGGCGAACGGGUGAGUAACACGUGGGUGACCUGCCCUUCACUCUGGGAUAAGCCUGGGAAACUGGGUCUAAUACCGGAUAUGACCUGCUCUCGCAUGGGGGUUGGGUGGAAAGUCAGUAUUGUAGUGAUGCUGGCGGGUGGGGAGU